rnacentral:tRNA from 1 species
GCGGACGUGGCGGAACUGGCAUACGCGUUAGGCUUAGGACCUAAUGGCAGCAAUGCCUUGGGGGUUCAACUCCCUCCGUCCGCA